GGAAGAGCCGCCCUGUCCGCCCUGCGCCGCCGGGCAGAACCGAGGACGCUGGCGGGCCGCGGUGUGCUAACGUCGGGGCCUCUGACUGAGCGCCUCGUCCUCGUGUCUGGUCUGAGAUCCCGGCCUGCUCUCCUGACAGUCGUCUGAAAAGUAGGCCGUAAGUUUCCAUUUGUAAAGGGGUCUCCUCCUGCCUUUCGAAGAACAAGGCACCUCUUAGACUGUCUCCCACGAGCCUUCUCUUCCAUCAGUUUCCCCCAUGUUUAAACUUACCGUGAGUUUGCGACCCCUGAAAGCCUAGACCCCUUUUUCUUUUGUCACUACUCUACACAAUUAUUAUUUUUUUAAAGAUCUUAUUUAUUUAUUUAUUUAUUUAUUUAAGGGAGUGGGGAGAGAGUGAGCAGGGGAAGGGGCAGAGGGGACGUUGAGAAUUCACGCUGACUCUGCACUGAGCAAGGGGCUUGACCUCAUGACCCUGGAGAUCAGGACUUGAGCUGAAAUCAAGUCAGAUGCUAAUGUCUAGACUGACCCACACAGGCGCCCCCCCAAAUUAUUUACUUUUUUGAGAGAGCACAUACAGGAGCAGGGGUGAGAGGCAGAGGGAGAAUCAGGAACACCCCACGCUCGGACUCCACCCCAGGACCCUGGGACCAUGACCUGAGCCGAAGGCAGAUGCUUAAGGACUGAGUCACCCAGGCGCCCCCCGCACACCAUAUUAUUCUUUUGUUAAGAUAAUAUAUAAGCCCCAAAUCGUAUAUAUAUAAGGCCCCCCCUUUGAGUCAUCUUCACUGUCUCCCGUGGGCAUGUGCACUCAGGAGUUAAUAAACUGUUUUUCUCUUGUUAAUUUCUUGUUUGUGAAUUUAAUUUCCAGGGCCCCAGCCACAGGACUUAAGACCAGGAAAGAAGAGGUCUUUUUUCCUCCCCUGUACUUUCUUGCCUACCCAUGUAACUAACAUAAUUUGGCCAUCCUUACUUUUCUUUCCUUCAGCAGCAAAUGAGUGUAAAUUAGGUCAGAGUCUGCUUUACUAACCUGGCCAUCUUAAGGAGGUAAAACAGGAAGAAGAAGGAUCCUGACUCAUUCAGGCUCCUAGCCCAAACUGCACUCUGCUGUCCUUUUCAUGUCAGGGACCUAUAUGGGUGAUCAUCCUAUACUAGUUAAAAACCCUCCAGAGGGGAGGAUUAUAAAACUCCCAACUGUCUCUGGGUGGAGUUACGUGUGGUAGGAUGAUUGACUCACAAACUUCUUGCUCAGUGUCAUGUUUUUAACCUUUUGUUGUUAUUCCCCACUAAUAACGACUGCCAUCUAUCUGGUGCUUACUUUGUGCCAGGCACCAUGCAUUAUGCUUCACUCUCUGCCAUCAGAGAGGGUAGGUAUUAUCUGUUUCAGAGAGAAGGAAGCUGAGGCUUACAUAGGUCAUCAAAAUUACAAAGUACAUAUAUAAGUAGUAAGCUAGUGUGACCAUAGCUAGUAAGAGUAGAACCCAGGGCUGGGAUCUCUGGGUGGCUCAGCGGUUAAGCAUCUGCCUUCGGCUCCGGGCGUGAUCCUGGAAUCUCGGGAUCGAGUCCCAUGUCGGGCUCCCUGUAUGGAGCCUGCUUCUCCCUCUGCCUGUGUCUCUGCCUCUGUGUGUCUCUCAUGAAUAAAUUAAAAAAAAAAAAAAAAAAGAACCCAGGGCUAUCUGAAGCUUAGAACUUCAAGCAUCUUCCUCUUCUCACCCACAGCCAGUCUGCUACACAUUGCACCCAUUCUUUCCUCAGUCUUUUGUACCUGUCUGCUUUCUAUUGUCACUGCCACUAUCAACCCAAGAUCCUACUGUAGCUUGCCUGACUAACUGCAAUAUCCUCAUUGUGAUUAUUAUGAUCACCGUUUUUCCUACUUUAGUCUGUUUACCUCUGCCAGGUUAAUUUUCCCAAAUUACACAUCUGGGGAAUAAACUCAUGGUGCUGACAAAAUUCCCAAAGGAAAGCAAACUCGGUAAGAUGAGAGGACUAUUAAGGUUUAUUUAUAUAGAAAACCUCAGAGACGUAAAUUAGCUUCUCACCUCACCUGUUUUUCUGCCCUGAUGGCAAUUUAAAGCAAAAAGAAGCUGUUACAGAGAAGAGUCCACAAGGAUUAAUCUAAAACAGGAAUGUGGUAGAGAAGGCUAGGCGAGUACCAUUAUGUUAGGAUUAUGUAAAAUGGAGAAUAAAAUAGUUCAUGGGUUUUCCUCAGAUUUUUAUUUUAAAAGUUAAAUGUAGUAAAUAGUAAAUAAAAAUCUUGUAAAAAUG